CACUCUAGCGAGACUGCCGGUAUAAACCGGAGGAAGGUGGGGAUGACGUCAAAUCAUCAUGCCCUUAUGACCUGGGCUACACACGUGCUACAAUGGUUGGUACAACGAGUUGCGAGUCGGUGACGGCGAGCUAAUCUCUUAAAGCCAAUCUCAGUUCGGAUUGUAGGCUGCAACUCGCCUACAUGAAGUCGGAAUCGCUAGUAAUCGCGGAUCAGCACGCCGCGGUGAAUACGUUCCCGGGCCUU
rnacentral:rRNA from 1 species